UACUGCCGAUUAAAAUUUACUUCGCUGUUUGGUCAGUAUUUUGGGAACUUACGACGACGCUGACGGUUUAUUUAUUCAACACUUGAUAUUAGGUGUCAAACGUCUAGCCUGCCGGGAAACUGCAGUUAAUAAGAUGAAGCGAUAAACAGGUAAUCUAAUAUCAAAUGAAGUCAAGUGAGUUUUUUUCUUACAGUAUAUAUAGCGGCUGUAAACUGGGGUCAAGUAAUGACGAACGAAGCUUUAAAUUUUCCAAAAUCAAACGUCAGUAUCCAUCAUAUCUUUAACUGAUCAAACCAACUAAUCCAGGCUGGUUGAUAUAUAAAUAUGCCAACAUGCAAUUAGCUCCCUAUCCUAACAGUUUUUGUAGCGUCUCCCGUAUCCCUUCAGUUUCGCCAGUUAAUACUUCAUUCCGCUCAAAAUUAAACCGACAUAGCAAAAAUGGUGGGGCCUUUGACAAAUUUAAAGACGCUCACAUCCAUGUGUGCCCUUGAAAUUGUCUUUGCCAUACUGCAAAUCACCGGACUAUGCGCGAAAUCGAAUAGACGUAUACAAAUAUGGCACGCUUAUGACGAAAAUGACUCACACGGAGCCCUUACUACUGUCUUAAUUGUAUCCCUGGAGAUUGUACUGUUGUUUGUAACUGGCUUCCAUGGAUUGUACACGAUCAGCAAAGCAAAGGAACAGACAGCAUCGACUGGAAUGUUUACCGGCUUAGGAAUACUUAAUAUUUUACUGAGCGUUAUUUAUGGCCUCGCAGUGGCGGUGAUUUUGGGAUUUGGAAUUUUCCUUUGGACACUGACUGGUUCUCUACUUGUCGGUAUGAUUGUAAUGCUCAUCGUGUCCUACAAUGCUUUUAAAAUGGCAACAGCCAUCACGGCCGCACGGAUCUCCUUCCGAUGCGGCAGCAUCCUUGAAGGAAACCAAUCAGUUGCGCCCCACAAUAUAACGCUGGAAACGCCGGUGAAAUAUAGCGUGUAGAUUAGCCUAAUUAUAAGCAGAAAAGCGGGAAAUUGCAUUCGUCUUACUGACGGAAAGAAUGUCAAUUCUGGAAAGUCGAAGUGUUAGAAUGUUGCUACCAUUUAGCCGCUGUGUCAAUAAAGGACGAAAAUG